GGCGGUCAGCUUGGCCCAGCCCCAAACUUCAUUGCACAUUGGUGCUAUAAGGUCCUGUGUAGUGGCUCUCUAGAGUUUGCGCACCUAGAAAAAAAUUAUCUGGGAGAUGGGCCCUUUCGUGAUCUUACAGCACAGGUUGAAUCAGCUACAGAAAGCUCAAUUACAGAGCUCACAGAAGACAUUUUGAGCUGUGGCUAUCUAGGCGUAGUCAGCUUAGAGAAGAAGGAUGAAAUUAUCCGAGCUAUUAUCCUACAUGCCACUCUUAAGUUGAUCCCUAUGCUGCAAGAGAUUAGGAAGGGUUUGCAGCUUUAUGGCAUUGGUGGUCUUAUGGAAAAACACCCAGAAAUUUGUCAGCCUCUGUUUGUUCCUGGGACAGAAACGGCAGUAAGUAUAGUAGUAGUAGUAGGCUUAGGGUGACACA